AAAAAAUUGAAUAUAAAAAAUAAAAUAAAGUAAAAAAAAAAAAAUAAACGAAAAGCAUAGAAAAGCGUAAAGUGAUACUUCUUAUUUUCUUUUUGUUGUUAGUGCUGAUUUGUUGUUGUUUUAACUUUUCUUUUGAAAAGUUAGUGCACUUGUGCUAUAUUGGAUUUCAAUACAGUUUCAAUUUCAUUGACCGAAUUUAGUUUAGUUUUUAUUUACCACACAGAAAUUGUUCACGUAACAUGUGCAUUAAAAAACCAACAAAUUUAUUUUGAUAAAAACUAAAAUCUACUUAUUUGCCAAACGUGUUACUCUGCAAAAAAAAAAAAUUUAAAUAAAAAAAUAAAAAAAAAUUAAAUUAGAUAAAUAAAAAAAAUUAUUGUGUGCAGCAUCUCGAAAACAACUGUAAACCUACGGUCUAACAACUACACAAGUAACUGUUUAAAAUCGUUUAACGCCCACCACUUAUACAGCUGUAAAGCCAAAAGUGUUAAAAAUUUUUUUUUAGUGAAAAAUAUUCAAUUAAAGAAGUUCCAUUAAAUGUUUUGCUAAUAAAGUAGUUAAAAAUUAGUAGUUAAAGAAUUAAGUAAAAGCAUUUAGGAAAAUUUCCAAAAAAAUUAGUUCCAUACAAAAGUACAACAAUUAAUUACCAACCACGGCUACAACAAUAAGUAAAAACAGAAGCAACCUUCGCUUGGUUACUCCAGCAUAACAGCUACUAAAUAGUACAAAAAAACAAAAAAAACCACUACCACACAAUAACUACACCAACAGCAACACUUCAAUAUUCCCAGCGAUUCAAAUCUAAUAGUCAUGCGACUUGAUCCGAUAUCAAAUGAAGAUUUUAGAUCUUUAAGCUCAAGAUUUUCUAGUAUAGCAUUAGAAUCUCUACCGUCCUGGGGAGGAUCUGAGAAAACAGACACAAGACUGCCAAUUACCGACUACUCAACACUUGGUGGCCCACGUCACAAUCGUAGUCCAUUCCCUCUUGCAAAAGACAUAAACAAUCGAUUCGUG